rnacentral:rRNA from 1 species
CCCUGUGGGGAGAGAAGAAUUAGUGUAGCCUAAUACGUUACAUGAUGACGGUAUCUCCUUAGCAAGCACCGGCUAACACUGUGC